UACGUAGGGUGCAAGCGUUAAUCGGAAUUACUGGGCGUAAAGCGUGCGCAGGCGGUGAUGUAAGACAGAUGUGAAAUCCCCGGGCUCAACCUGGGAACUGCAUUUGUGACUGCAUAGCUAGAGUACGGUAGAGGGGAAUGGAAUUCCGCGUGUAGCAGUGAAAUGCGUAGAUAUGCGGAGGAACACCGAUGGCGAAGGCAAUCCCCUGGGCCUGCACUGACGCUCAUGCACGAAAGCGUGGGGAGCAAACAGG
rnacentral:rRNA from 1 species